GUGACAAACGUCAUAGCUCAUUCCGGAAACAUCCUUUAGUGCAGCAAUACCGAAACUACCUUUAACUUCGCCGAAGUGUCUUAACUAAUUGUACGGUGUUCUGCUGUGCUGAUCCACAUACCAUUCGGCUCCCUACACAUCGUCAUCGAUUCAUGAUUAUCGCUCAGCGAUCGCUAUCCCCUCUUCAUUGUCAUAUCAUCAUCGUUCGUUACUAUCGUCGUUCCGUUGGGUUAUACUCUGUGUGUGUGCGCGGAAAUACCAUACUCCUACCGUAUCCUGGUGUACAAUACAUGUAACUUCACCUCUCAUCUUUCUCAAUCAUCGCUCUCUUCGAUCAACGUUUACAAAUGAUCGAUCAUCUUCUUCUUCACACAAUCAUUCCGCCUACGCAUACGAUACGUUGCGCGCGAGGCUUCCGGAUCGCCUAUCA